UGCAACGUCUUACUUUUGUACACAUUUAUUAUUUAUAUUGAUGUAAUGAUAAAAAAAAACUCAAAGGUUCCGUAAUACAAGAGAAGAAAAGAGUUAUCAUCGAAUAAAUUGUGUUUUUAUAUGAACUUUUGUCCGAAAAGCUGACGCUGAUAAAUUUAACGUAAUAAAAUGGGAGUCUAUGGAGCAAAGUUCGUAGCACGAACGUGUGUUGUAUAAACAAACGUUCAAAUUUCAAAUUUACAUCUGAUAUGUCAAGGAUCGUUUAUAAAACAGCCGAAACAAUAUAACUGUUUAUAGAUAACAUUAUAAACAAUGUUCUAAGAAAACGCACUCAUUUGGUUGCGCAAGCGCAUCACAGUAAAGCUCUGAGCCGAACAAGGACAUUGACCUCUACUUAGAUUACCAGAUGUCAUGGGGUUUCCGGUUACUCUUAUAAUAUGGAAAUCUAUGAGUGUUAACGGUUUACGCGUCAGAAAUACUAUUUACGAAGCAAAAAACAAAUUAUCUAACAUUAUUGCGAGUUAAAUAAAAAUGAAUCAUAGUUUCGAAAUAAUUCAGGAAAAACGCAUUCGUUAUUCGUCAUUGCAAUUAUAAUGAGAAAUAUAUAAAUAAAUAA